rnacentral:tRNA from 1 species
AAAUCCGUCGAUCCAUAAAACUUAAGUCCCUCCACCCCCA